rnacentral:rRNA from 1 species
UCCAGAAUAGCUCUUGGAAACGGGUGGUAAUGCUGGAUGCUCCAACUUGACGCAUGUCUUGUUGGGAAAGUGUUUAGUGGCAUGGGAUGGGGUCGCGUCCUAUCAGCUUGUAGGCGGGGUAAUGGCCCACCUAGGCUUCGACGGGUAGCCGGCCUGAGAGGGCGGACGGCCACAUUGGGACUGAGAUACGGCCCAGACUCCUACGGGAGGCAGCAGAA